UUUAUGGAGAGUUUGAUCCUGGCUCAGGAUGAACGCUGGCGGCGUGCCUAAUACAUGCAAGUCGAGCGAACGGACGAGAAGCUUGCUUCUCUGAUGUUAGCGGCGGACGGGUGAGUAACACGUGGAUAACCUACCUAUAAGACUGGGAUAACUUCGGGAAACCGGAGCUAAUACCGGAUAAUAUUUUGAACCGCAUGGUUCAAAAGUGAAAGACGGUCUUGCUGUCACUUAUAGAUGGAUCCGCGCUGCAUUAGCUAGUUGGUAAGGUAACGGCUUACCAAGGCAACGAUGCAUAGCCGACCUGAGAGGGUGAUCGGCCACACUGGAACUGAGACACGGUCCAGACUCCUACGGGAGGCAGCAGUAGGGAAUCUUCCGCAAUGGGCGAAAGCCUGACGGAGCAACGCCGCGUGAGUGAUGAAGGUCUUCGGAUCGUAAAACUCUGUUAUUAGGGAAGAACAUAUGUGUAAGUAACUGUGCACAUCUUGACGGUACCUAAUCAGAAAGCCACGGCUAACUACGUGCCAGCAGCCGCGGUAAUACGUAGGUGGCAAGCGUUAUCCGGAAUUAUUGGGCGUAAAGCGCGCGUAGGCGGUUUUUUAAGUCUGAUGUGAAAGCCCACGGCUCAACCGUGGAGGGUCAUUGGAAACUGGAAAACUUGAGUGCAGAAGAGGAAAGUGGAAUUCCAUGUGUAGCGGUGAAAUGCGCAGAGAUAUGGAGGAACACCAGUGGCGAAGGCGACUUUCUGGUCUGUAACUGACGCUGAUGUGCGAAAGCGUGGGGAUCAAACAGGAUUAGAUACCCUGGUAGUCCACGCCGUAAACGAUGAGUGCUAAGUGUUAGGGGGUUUCCGCCCCUUAGUGCUGCAGCUAACGCAUUAAGCACUCCGCCUGGGGAGUACGACCGCAAGGUUGAAACUCAAAGGAAUUGACGGGGACCCGCACAAGCGGUGGAGCAUGUGGUUUAAUUCGAAGCAACGCGAAGAACCUUACCAAAUCUUGACAUCCUUUGACAACUCUAGAGAUAGAGCUUUCCCCUUCGGGGGACAAAGUGA
rnacentral:rRNA from 1 species